rnacentral:rRNA from 1 species
UACGGAGGGUGCAAGCGUUGUUCGGAAUCAUUGGGCGUAAAGCGCGAGUAGGCGGGCUAGUAAGUCUGGUGUGAAAGCCCGGGGCUUAACUCCGGAAGUGCAUUGGAUACUGCUGGGCUAGAGGACGAGAGAGGAAAGCGGAAUUCCUGGUGUAGGGGUGAAAUCCGUAGAUAUCAGGAGGAACAUCGGAGGCGAAGGCGGCUUUCUGGCUCGUUACUGACGCUGAGACGCGAAAGCGUGGGGAGCAAACAGG